rnacentral:tRNA from 2 species
GCGGAAGUAGUUCAGUGGUAGAACAUCACCUUGCCAAGGUGGGGGUCGCUGGUUCGAACCCCGUCUUCCGCU